AUCAAUUCGGCGUCAUUUUUGUUUACUUUUCAAAAAAUCUCACAAUCUCCUCAGAUAUGUUAUGCUCUGGGAAGCUCUGACAUCUUAACAAAGCGUGUCAAUUGGUGACAGAGCGUACAAAGUGGUGUCACCGCUUUGAACCAAGCUCUGUUAAACUCUGUUAAGCUUUCCUACGCUUUGAGCAAAACUUUGAUAAGCUUUGUGACGCUUUGAUAAGCUUUAAUACGCUCUCCCCGCUUUACGCAAUUCUUGACAGAUCGCCUCAAAUUUUUAAACAGUUUAAAAAAAAUUGGCGCUCUUGCCGAAUGUCCUGAAUUGCUCAAAGCUUUCUCACGCUCUAUUACGGUCUUUACACUUUAAUUAAGCUUUGUUACGCUUUGCCGCCGAUUUAAUUCGCCAUUAAUUCGGCAUCGGUGUGAACUAAGCAUAAGCAUUUUACCCAUUUUUAACACCUUUUCCAUUUUUACUUAAAAGCUAAAAUAGUUUCAGAUGAUCAUCAAUUCAAGACUAAGAAUGACAAAAUUGAAUAAAAUGACAUGUAUAGCAGAGUGAUACAAUGGCAAUAUGCACGAGAAUUAAUAGGUAUAUGGACAAAAGCAUUAUAAAAAGGCAAAUUUACAGAUGACAAAUAUACAAUUUACAAUGAGGGUAGAGACAUCGCAAAAGCACUAGACAACAAUUCCAUCAUCACUGUCAUAUCUUGAUCUGUUUGUCUUUGCCAUUUCAAUAGGGACCAAGUAGUAAUCUUUAUCUGUGUCUAAGUCUUUAUCCUGGCUACUUGUCUUCAGUUCGAUCCCAUUUCUCUGAAGAUUCAGUCUUAAUACCUUGUUGUUAAUGUAAGACGGAUCGCGGCAUAGGUCCUUUGGCAGGUCGUAGAUGUGAGAGCGAAGGGUCGAGGUAUCUCCAGCUUUGGAGACAUCAGUCGGACUAGUUGCAUGGCAGAGGUACUCGUGAGUGGGUAGUUCAACCUGGCUGUCUGUUGCUGUCACACCGGGUUGACGAGAUUGAAUUGGAUUCACUGUCAUCCUGUGUGAGCGUUUACAGUUCCUUUUAAUGCAGUAGAUACAGACAGUCAUCAAAAUGCAAGUGACAAUAAUUGCAGAGGCUACAAUUAUUCCUGUCAGAGCGGCGGUCGAUAAAAAAGGUUCCCUGUUACAAGAUGACACAAAAUCAAAAAUUACCUCAUUUUUACUGGAGGUAGGUGUGACACAAAGAGUGGAUUCUUGUUCAACAAUUGUAAGGUUUUGUUGGUCGCGAAGGAGCUUCCAUACCUCUGUGUUGUUGCAUUUACAAUCCCAUUGGUUGUUAUCCAGUUUGAUCUCCUGGAGUUCUUGUGGAUGGUAC